CCGUGCCCAAGAGAUCGGGAUAACACCUGGAAACAGAUGCUAAUACCGGAUAAUAACAGAUGAUGCCUAUCAACUGUUUAAAAGAUGGUUCUGCUAUCACUCUUGGAUGGACCUGCGGUGCAUUAGCUAGUUGGUAGGGUAACGGCCUACCAAGGCGAUGAUGCAUAGCCGAGUUGAGAGACUGAUCGGCCACAUUGGGACUGAGACACGGCCCAAACUCCUACGGGAGGCAGCAGAG
rnacentral:rRNA from 1 species